GAUGAGCGCUAGCGACAGGCCUAACACAUGCAAGUCGAGGGGCAGCAUAAAGGUAGCAAUACUUUGGUGGCGACCGGCGCACGGGUGAGUAACACGUAUGCAACCUACCUGUAAGAGGGGAAUAACCCGGAGAAAUUCGGACUAACACCGCAUAAUACCUCGAAGCUGCAUGGCUUUGAGGUUAAAUAUUUAUAGCUUACAGAUGGGCAUGCGUAACAUUAGAUAGUUGGUGAGGUAACGGCUCACCAAGUCAACGAUGUUUAGGGGUUCUGAGAGGAAGGUCCCCCACACUGGUACUGAGACGCGGACCAGACUCCUACGGGAGGCAGCAGUGAGGAAUAUUGGUCAAUGGGCAAGAGCCUGAACCAGCCAAGUCGCGUGAAGGAAGAAGGUUCUAUGGAUUGUAAACUUCUUUUGUAAGGGAAUAAAAAAGCUUACGUGUAGGCUAUUGUAUGUACUUUACGAAUAAGGAUCGGCUAACUCCGUGCCAGCAGCCGCCGUAACAC
rnacentral:rRNA from 1 species